rnacentral:rRNA from 1 species
AUUGAACGCUGGCGGCAGGCCUAACACAUGCAAGUCGAGCGAGCGGCGGACGGGUGAGUAAUGUCUGGGAAACUGCCUGAUGGAGGGGGAUAACUACUGGAAACGGUAGCUAAUACCGCAUACCAUCAGAUGUGCCCAGAGGGGGUUAGCUAGUGGGUGGGGUAAUGGGGCACCUAGGCGACGAACCCUAGCUGGUCUGAGAGGAUGACCGGCCACACUGGAACUGAGACACGGUCCAGACUCCUACGGGAGGCAGCAGUGGGGAAUAUUGGACAAUGGGCGCAAGCCUGACGCAGCCAUGCCGCGUGUGUGAAGAAGGCCUUCGGGUUGUAAAGCACUGUCAGCGGAGAGGCGUUACCCGCAGAAGAAGCACCGGCUAACUCCGUGCCAGCAGCCGCGGUAAUUU